UUCGGAGGUCAGAGCUCGGCGGGGUGCGGCUAGUGGCGGAGCGCGCUGCGAGGGGAGGGCUUUCCACUGUCGCUGGCGUGAACUCGCGUGCCCGGCUUCACCAGGUACUGCCUUCUAACGAGCUGGCCAUUUCCACAUGUCAGAUAGGACCAACUUGCCUUUUAACUACCCGUGUGAUACUUAAACACUGUUGCCGGUAUCACAGCUUUUCUUCAAAACAGGAUCUUGCUCUGUCACCCAGGCUGGAGUACAGUAGCACCAUCACUGCUCACUGUAGCCUCGACCUGCUGGGCUCAAGUGAUCCUCCCAUCUCAGCCUCCUGAGUAGGGGACUACACACAGGCACCACCAUGAUCCGGUAUCACCAGUCUGUGGGUACAAAAGGAGAGUAACAUGAACGAUUCAAAUUCCACUGGCUCUUGUUCCCAUGGAUUCACAGAAGUUCAGCCCCAUUUCAAAACUUCACAUUUGCUUCUGGGAAGCCCAUUCUGGAAAGUUUCUCUGUGGCCCUCUCCAGAAGGCAGCGCGACUUCCACCCAGCAACACAAGUCUCUGCAGCACCUGCCCCAGCAGCGCCAGCUGAGCCCCGGAAGCUGGGAAGGCUUAAGCUGACUCUUCUGCUGCACAUAGCAAAAAAUGGUCAUUUCUGUAGUUGCAGCUCCAGAUCUACAAUAAUCAAUCUAUAUCCAUAUUUUAUGGGGUUUUUUUGAGACAAAGUCUUGCUCUGUUACUCAGGCUGGAGUGCAGUGGCAUUAUCAUCAUUCACUUGUAGCCUUGACCUCCCUGGCUCAGGUGAUCCUGUCACCUCAGCCUUCCAAGUAGCUGAGACCACAGGCAUGCACCACUAAGCCUGGCUAAUUUUUCAAUUUUUAUUUUUCGUAGAGACAGGGUCUCCCUGGGUUGCCCAAACUGGUCUUGAAUUCCUGGGCUCAAGCAAUCCUCCUGUCCCGGCACCCCGAAGUGUUGGGACUACAGGCAUGAGCCACUGUGCACAGCCCUUUUUGUUUUUGUUUUUGUUUUUUUUUAAAGGUAAUUUCCCAGUGGAAUCCUCGAGAUUUCUUCACGUUUUUGGAAAAAUGAGUUACAUUUUAGAUUGUUUUCCUUUUUGGAAUUUAAUGGUAUACAUUAUAUUACAUAGCUAUGUUGAGCUCUAUUUCUAUUACACUAAAAAGUAGGCUAAUUGUCUUAACUUUCAUCAGUAAUGACAUUAAAUGUGUGAAGAUUAUACUUGGAAUAAAGCACUUGGAUUCAUUCAUUUCUUCAGUAAAUAUUUAUUGAGCACUAGUAUGUUCCAACGAGUGUCUGUCUACAUUCUGGGGACAAGUGAUAACUAAAUCCCUGUCCUCGUGGAGAGUUAACAAUCAACAAACUAACAAACAUUUAAUUUAUGUCAUCAACUCAUUUCCACAAAUAUAACAACAUCUUGACUUCAAGUUUCCUGAGUUUCUGGUCUAAAGAAUUGCUACCUUCAAGAGCUCAAAUCAUUUGUUGGGGAGAGAGGCCUGUGAUAUAUUUUCUCCUUUACAAUGAAAGUAGCUGUAAAAAGAGGAAGAGAAAUUCUGAGGGUAAAGAUAAAAAAUGUUGAAAUCUUCUUUCUGGAUUUCAGAUUGAGUCUCUUGCCCUAAUUGAUGCAAUUUACACUCCAUGCAUCUCCUUCCCUGGACCUUCUCCAGUUCUUGGGGACUACAGAUGAACUUACUUUUAAUGCAUUUUAUGGCAUUUGGAGGCCCUCCAGUGGACAAAUACUAUACCUGAAAAAAAUCCUUUUGCUGUGCUAAAGUGUUCAGGUGUGAAGUGUACUCAUGUUUGCAAAUCACUUUGAAAUAUAUAAACAAAAAUGAAUUAAUGGAUGAAUAGAGUGAUGCAUAGAUCAUUAGACAUGUGAUAAAAAUAACUGUUAAUUGUAGAAUCUAGAUGAUGAGUAUAUUAUAUGAUAUGGCCCACUGUAUAAUUCUUUCAACUUUUCUGUUUGAAUGUUUG
ensembl:lncRNA APTR Alu-mediated CDKN1A/p21 transcriptional regulator